rnacentral:rRNA from 1 species
GACGAACGCUGGCGGCGUGCUUAACACAUGCAAGUCGAGCGAGGCCCCUCCUUCGGGAGGGUGUCCUAGCGGCGAACGGGUGAGUAACACGUGGGCAACCUGCCCUCAGCUCUGGGAUAACUCCGGGAAACCGGGGCUAAUACCGGAUACGACCUCCACGGGCAUCUGCGGAGGUGGAAAGUUUUUCGGCUGAGGAUGGGCCCGCGGCCUAUCAGCUAGUUGGUGGGGUAGUGGCCCACCAAGGCGACGACGGGUAGCCGGCCUGAGAGGGCGACCGGCCACACUGGGACUGAGAAACGGCCCAGACUCCUACGGGAGGCAGCAGUGGGGAAUAUUGCGCAAUGGGCGAAAGCCUGACGCAGCGACGCCGCGUGAGGGACGAAGGCCUUCGGGUUGUAAACCUCUUUCAGCAGGGACGAAGCGAAAGUGACGGUACCUGCAGAAGAAGCACCGGCCAACUACGUG